AGUUCACUGCAAUCCCAGACUGUCCCUGGAGGUUCUGGGACAGGAGUAUAUGUCCCUGAAGACCCUCUGCAGAGGAGAGGAGAGACAGAGCCUCAUCCCAGUUGACCCUAGAAGACACAGAGAAAAUAGCAUUUUUUUUCUGUACUUCAUGGAUUCAAUGCUACCAGGUAUGAAAUUUUCUCACAGUCAGGGACAUUUGGGGGCAACCUGCAAAGUCACAUGUCCUUUUCUUUAUGGUGCCUUUUUAUGGAAAAAUAACUUUUGUUAGGCAAGAAUUUCUUACCUCAUAGAACUCCCUGAAGCACCCGGCUUGCUUUCAGGCCUGAUUAUAUGAGGCCAGCUGGCCAUCAGACAUAAUCUCUACUCCAUCAUGCACAAACUGGUCUGUUUGGAGGAAAAGUACCAGCUCAGACUUUGCGGGUCCACCUGUCCUUCAGUUCUAUCGAAGCAUGUAGAUAAGCAAAAGGUUUUGUUUUGUUUUGUUUUGUUUAAUCUCAAAAAUUCACCUUGAAAAAGAUUGGAGAGACUUUCUAAGUCUUGGGGUUGCUAGUCCAUAAUAAUAAUAAUCACACUAAUAAGUAAACAAAUAAAAAUAAUUGAACUUGAUUGUGUACUUGCUAGGAGCCAGGCCAUGUCACUAAGGACUCACGUGCACCCACUCCUUUAUUCCUGACAACAGUUCCAUGAGAUUGGUGCUAUCACGACCCAUGUUUCACAGUGAGGGGAAUGGAGGCCCACAGAGAUGACCAGAGACAGUGCAUGUUUAUAGAGCACUUACUUGGUACCAGUACUCUGCUAAAUGCUGUGCUUACAUGAAUUCAUUUACCCUGACAGUAAUCCCUUGAGGUAGGUAUUAUCCUCAUAUAUUCUGGUAUUAUUACUCUCCUCACCAUACAGACAAGGAGAAAGCGGCCCAGAAACCUUCCACACCUCACCCAGCGUCUCCUGGAUGGUACAUGGAUCAUGGAGACAGGCUUUUCAUCCAGUGCUCAGGAAGCUCUCUGCUUCGGGCCCCAGGUUAGGGCCAUGAAGACUUAUAAUGAGUACAAGUCUCCGACUGAGCAAAUCCUAACUCAUUGGAGCUUGUGCUUAACCAGAACCUGGCUUGUCCUGACUGUCCAUUCACAAUACCCGCAUUUUCCCAUCUUUAUUUGGAGCAGCCGUAUUUCAAGUGCUCGGCGGCCACAUAUGGUCCAUGACCACUGCACUGAGCAGUGUACCCUCACCCGUGCACCAUCAUGCCUGAGUCUUUGAAGACGGUGUCAUCCGGGUUUACCAGACUGUAUUUAUUGAGGAAGAAGAUUUUCCUUUUUUCAACAAAGGAUUCCUGCAUUGGUGCUCAACCACCCACCCCCAUGGUUUCUUCCUGGUCUGACAAGAUAUCAAGAUGUUCUGCCUCAAGAGAACCUGAGGACGGUCUCACAUCAAAUCUCCUUUAGUUUUGAGGGGGCUGGUCCAAACCCCAGUGGCUAACAGAUGAUGCCACCAUAUGGAUCGAGUUCCGUCUUCAAAUAGAAAGAGAUAUUUUCAAACAUCCUUGAAUUGAGCAUGCAGAAUGAGGGCGGCAUGGUGCUUACAUACCCACUAAUCUCUGUUAUGACAUGUCUGCAUGACGGAGAGGAUCAUACUCCUGGGUUGAGGAAAGGAGGGCUGUCCACGGAUGACACAAUCAAGAGGUGCACUGGCCCACAGAGAAUGCAGAAUGGGCAGCAAAACUCAUCAUGCCAGCUGCCUUUUAAAAGAAAAUGCCAGUUAAGGGAAAAAAUCGCCUUUCCAAAGAAAUGAUAUAGCAAAAGGGGAAGUCAUGGAAUACUGUCUUUCUUCACAAGAAACUAUUCUCUUAUCAGACUCUUUCCAGUUAAGAUAAUAACAAGAUCUUCCCUCAUGAAACAGUAAAGGUGAAACAAAGCAGUGAAUUUAAAGAGUUCAGACAGGGGCUGGUAUCCGGUACCUAAUAAAGUGAAGUGAAGUUGCUCAGUCGUGUCCGACUCUGCGACCCCAUGGACUGUAGCCCUCCAGG